UGAUCAGAGAAGGAUUUAUGCUAGCAGCUCCUGUAAAAAACGAAAGCAGGCCAUGGUCACCGAAAACAAAGAAGGAGGGUGAGUUUAGGCCUUGCAGGCUUUAAGAGACCGAGAGUUACAAGAGCAACUCCAUGAGCGUUUCCGAGACAUCCCUUUCCUACAGAUCACAGAACACUAACCUAACAUAGUAGGUUCAAACAUACACCCUCAACCAUGAAGUUCCAACCUGCAAAACAACCCAAAAAAUAACUAUACACAACCCACCCAAAUGUGGGAGAGGGAAACCCACAUCUGGGUACGAAGGAGAAGGCCACCCCUACCCAGAAGGGGCAGAGGUGACCACUAAACGGCAAGAAACAGGAGAGAAAAACUAAAAGUAGAGAAAAAAAAGUUGGGUUAGGGGGAUUAGUAAGC
rnacentral:misc_RNA from 1 species